ensembl:lncRNA
CCUGGUUUUGAGAGGUUGGCCAGCGUUACAAAGUGUUCCUUCAGAAAGGCUUCCUGGUCUGGAGUCUGGGGAACCAGUUGAGAGGUCAUGACAUCUGGUCCUCCUCCUGCUGCGCCUCCUCCGUCCUCGUCCUCCUCCAGCUCAGAGGAGUUUCCAUCCACACUGAGAGGCUCUGAGUCUACGAGGACGGAGACAGGUUAGGGGUGAGAGACAGACAAGAGAGGUCUGUCUGCCUCGCUUCAUCUGUCUGUCUCACCGUUUCCUGCAGGUUUGUCUCUCUGUAUCUGUCCAUGUCCUGCAGGUUUGUCUCUCUGUAUCUGUCUAUGUCCUGCAGGUUUGUCUCUCUGUAUCUGUCCAUGUCCUGCAGGUUUGUCUCUCUGUAUCUGUCUAUGUCCUGCAGGUUUGUCUCUCUGUAUCUGUCUAUGUCCUGCAGGUGUGUCUCUCCGUAUCUGUCUAUGUCCUGCAGUUUGUCUCUCUGUAUCUGUCUAUGUCCUGCAGGUGUGUCUCUCCGUAUCUGUCUAUGUCCUGCAGGUUUGUCUCUCUGUAUCUGUCUAUGUCCUGCAGCUGUGUCUCUCCUUAUCUGUCUGUCUCCCGGUGUCGGUCUCACCAUCUCCUGCAGGUCUCACUGGACUGGACAGCCUGGAGCUGAAUCCCAGUGAGCAGCCGCUGUCUGGACUGGGUUUGUCCUGAUGUUUGUCUGCAGCAGUAGGACACGCCUCCUUCACCUGGAACUCACUGACAGGAAGGGGCAGCGUUUAGAGGGGCGGCGUUCCAACAUCCUACAAGCAGAAUUUAUUCACCUGGGACAAACUACUUCCUAAAAUGGGACAUUGAACUCUGACCCUGUUUAUCAUAUUCAAUUAAUUGUCCUUAAAUCCUUUUGUAAGGAGACGGUGUAAAUAUAAACGACCUGAUGACCUGCUUGUGUUUCAAUCUCUUCUCUCCUCUUUUUCUGCUUCUGUCUCUGCUGCCAAAAGCUCUUUCUACCGAUCCAGAAUCCAAUCUUCAUUUUCUAACCCAAAAAAACUAUUUUCGAUAUUCUCCAACCUCCUCCAACCCCCUAGUCCUCCUCCCCCCUUCUUCUGGGUGACUGUCACUACUUUACCAAGAAAAUAGCUGACAUACGCUCCUCUUUCUCAAACCCACCUCCUAUUUCUUGCUUCCCACUGGCUUCACCUCUAUCGCCCUCACUUUCCUCUUUCACCCCCCUGUCUCCUAACCAAGUUCUUACCCUAGUAACCUCUGACCCUCCGACCACCUGCCCUCUUGACCCCAUUCCAUCACAUCUUCAACGGACGCACCUAUCGGGUAACCUGGAGAGGAUCUGUGUUGAACCUUGUCCUCUUACUACUGGAGUUCCUCAGGGUUCCGUCCUGGGUCCCCUCCUCUUCUCUCUCUACACCAACUCUCUCAUUCGCUCACUUGGCUUCUCCUACCACAGCGAUGCUGAUGACACCCAACUAAUUCUCUCCUUCCCUCACUCGGAUCUCUGCCUGUCUGACUGACAUCUCUCAGUGGAUCCGCCCACCAUCUGAAAAUCAACCCCGACAAGAUGGAACUACUUCUCUUUCCAGGAAAAGAUUCUCCUUCACAGGACCUGACUGUUAACUUUGGCGACUCCGUGUUAACGUCCACUUUGACUGCAGGAACCUCGGCGUGACGUCGACAGCCGACUCUCCCUGACUCCAACAUCACUGACAACACCCUGUAGAUACUCGCUCUACAACAUGAGGAGAACACGUCCUCUUCUCACUCAGAAGGUACUGAUUCAGGCUCUUGUCGUCUCCCUCCUGGACCACUGUAACUCUCUCCUGCAGGUCUCCUGCUACCUCCAUUCCACCUCUGCAGCUCAUCCAGAAUGCAGCAGCUCCACUGGUCUUUAACCUUCCUAAGUUC